rnacentral:tRNA from 2 species
UGGAAAGAAAGGGAUUCGAC